rnacentral:rRNA from 1 species
UACGGGGGGGGCAAGCGUUGUUCGGAAUUACUGGGCGUAAAGGGUUUGUAGGUGGCUUGCUAAGUCAGACGUGAAAUCCCUCAGCUUAACUGGGGAACUGCGUCUGAGACUGGCAGGCUUGAGUGCAGGAGAGGAACGCGGAAUUCCAGGUGUAGCGGUGAAAUGCGUAGAUAUCUGGAGGAACACCGGUGGCGAAGGCGGCGUUCUGGACUGUAACUGACACUGAUGAACGAAAGCCAGGGGAGCAAACGGG